AGUUUGAUCCUGGCUCAGGAUGAACGCUGGCGGCGUGCUUAACACAUGCAAGUCGAACGGGGAUGCUUAUGGAAGGAGUGCUUGCACUUUGGAAAUGAGUAUCUUAGUGGCGGACGGGUGAGUAACGCGUGGGUAACCUGCCCCAUACCGGGGGAUACCACCUGGAAACAGGUGCUAAUACCGCAUAAGCGCACGGGAGCGCAUGCUCCUGUGUGAAAAACUCCGGUGGUAUGGGAUGGACCCGCGUCUGAUUAGCCAGUUGGCAGGGUAACGGCCUACCAAAGCGACGAUCAGUAGCCGGCCUGAGAGGGUGGACGGCCACAUUGGGACUGAGACACGGCCCAAACUCCUACGGGAGGCAGCAGUGGGGAAUAUUGCACAAUGGGGGAAGCCCUGAUGCAGCGACGCCGCGUGAGUGAAGAAGUAUUUCGGUAUGUAAAGCUCUAUCAGCAGGAACGAGACAAGACGGUACCUGACUAAGAAGCCCCGGCUAACUACGUG
rnacentral:rRNA from 1 species